GGUGGGGGGGGGGGUCACUCAGCCUGGAUUGCAAGAGGGCGCAGGCCAGGCCGUAGGACCCCACCAGUGCAUG
rnacentral:pre_miRNA from 1 species